UGGGGAAUUUUUUGCAAUGGGGGAAACCCUGAUCCAGCCAUCCCGCGUGUGCGAUGAAGGCCUUCGGUUUGUAAAGCACUUUUGGCAGGAGAGAAACGUCAUGGGUUAAUACCCCGUGAAACUGACGGUACCUGCAGAAUAAGCACCGGCUAACUACGUGCCAGCAGCCGCGGUAAUACGUAGGGUGCAAGCGUUAAUCGGAAUUACUGGGCGUAAAGCGUGCGCAGGCGGUUCGGAAAGAACGAUGUGAAAUCCCAGGGCUCAACUUUGGAACUGCAUUUUUCACUACCGGGCUAGAGCUGGUCAGAGGGAGGUGGAAGUCCGCGUGUCGCAGUGAAAUGCGUAGAUCUGCGGAGGAACACCGAUGGCGAAGGCAGCCUCCUGGGAUAACACUGACGCUCAUGCACGAAAGCGUGGGGAGCAAACAGG
rnacentral:rRNA from 1 species